GACGAACGCUGGCGGCGUGCCUAAUACAUGCAAGUCGAGCGGAAGUUGAAGAGCUUGCUCUUCAACUUUAGCGGCGGACGGGUGAGUAACACGUGGGCAACCUGCCCUGCAGAUCGGGAUAACUCCGGGAAACCGGUGCUAAUACCGAAUAGUUUUGGGUCCCUCCUGGGACCUAACGGAAAGACGGUUUCGGCUGUCACUGCAGGAUGGGCCCGCGGCGCAUUAGCUAGUUGGUGGGGUAACGGCCCACCAAGGCGACGAUGCGUAGCCGACCUGAGAGGGUGAUCGGCCACACUGGGACUGAGACACGGCCCAGACUCCUACGGGAGGCAGCAGUAGGGAAUCUUCCGCAAUGGACGCAAGUCUGACGGAGCAACGCCGCGUGAGUGAUGAAGGUUUUCGGAUCGUAAAACUCUGUUGCGAGGGAAGAAACCGUGCCAAUUAACUACUGGCACCUUGACGGUACCUCGCCAGAAGGCCACGGCUAACUACGUGCCAGCCGCCGCAGUAA
rnacentral:rRNA from 1 species